CACCUAGGAAACCCGCGGUGUGGCCAGGGAAGGAGGUUCGGUUGGCGUCGGGCUUCCUGCGAGCUCCCUCCAGCGGCCGUGAUUGAAAUAAUUGUUUUCUGCUGCUGGAAACAAGUGCAGCACGUUGAACUGGACAAGGUGUCCCAGUACCCAUCUCUGGAGAAAUGUACUUGAAUGGCAUCGCAGUGGCAGCAACUUCAUGAGAGCUUUGGAAAAGGACGGGCUGAAGUCCUUCAGUGAAAUCAACAGGCUUUAUGGCUACAGCAUACUCUUCACUCAUGGCACACAUGACAGACACCUAGAAGAAAACAUGCAGGCAAAAAAGUUACUCAGAAGUUCACCUUCUGGCAGUUUAAGAUCCUCACGGACUUCACCAGUUUCUGUCAGCAGGGAAAGGUAACCAUCCUGA